rnacentral:rRNA from 1 species
CCUACGGGGGGCAGCAGUGAGGAAUAUUGGUCAAUGGACGAGAGUCUGAACCAGCCAAGUAGCGUGAAGGAUGACUGCCCUAUGGGUUGUAAACUUCUUUUAUAUGGGAAUAAAAUGUUCCACGUGUGGGAUUUUGUAUGUACCAUAUGAAUAAGGAUCGGCUAACUCCGUGCCAGCAGCCGCGGUAAUACGGAGGAUCCGAGCGUUAUCCGGAUUUAUUGGGUUUAAAGGGUGCGUAGGUGGAUUGUUAAGUCAGUUGUGAAAGUUUGCGGCUCAACCGUAAAAUUGCAGUUGAAACUGGCAGUCUUGAGAAGAGUAGAGGUAGGCGGAAUGCGUGGUGUAGUGGUGAAAUGCUUAGAUAUCACGAAGAACUCCGAUUGCGAAGGCAGUUCACUGGACUGCAACUGACACUGAGGCACGAAAGUGUGGGUAUCAAACAGGAUUAGAUACCCGAGUAGUC